GACGUAGGGCGCGAGCGUUGUCCGGAUUCAUUGGGCGUAAAGAGCUCGUAGGCGGCCACUCAAGUCGAAUGUGAAACCUCGAGGCUUAACCUCGAGCCUGCAUUCGUAUACUGGGCGGCUAGAGUCUGGUAGGGGGGAUCUGGAAUUCCUGGUGUAGCGGUGGAAUGCGCAGAUAUCAGGAGGAACACCGGUGGCGAAGGCGGGAUCCUGGGCCAGUACUGACGCUGAGGAGCGAAAGCGUGGGGAGCAAACAGG
rnacentral:rRNA from 1 species